rnacentral:rRNA from 1 species
GACGAACGCUGGCGGCGUGCUUAACACAUGCAAGUCGAACGGAAAGGCCCUGCUUUUGUGGGGUGCUCGAGUGGCGAACGGGUGAGUAACACGUGAGUAACCUGCCCUUGACUUUGGGAUAACUUCAGGAAACUGGGGCUAAUACCGGAUAGGAGCUCCUGCUGCAUGGUGGGGGUUGGAAAGUUUCGGCGGUUGGGGAUGGACUCGCGGCUUAUCAGCUUGUUGGUGGGGUAGUGGCUUACCAAGGCUUUGACGGGUAGCCGGCCUGAGAGGGUGACCGGCCACAUUGGGAUUGAGUUACGGCCCAGACUCUUACGGAGGGCAGCAGUGGGGAAUAUUGCACAAUGGGCGGAAGCUUAAUGCGGCAACCCCGCGGGCGGGAUGACGGCCUUCGGGUUUUAAACCGCUUUCGCCUGGGACGAAGCGUGAGGGCCGUUAUUGGUAAAGAAGCACCGGCUAACUACGU